rnacentral:lncRNA from 1 species
UUGCCGUGAGGGGCCAGCCACCGCUGGGUGCAGUCCUCCAGCCUUUCCAACGCCCACAUCGACUACACCACCAAGCCCGCCAUCAUCUUCCGCAUCGCCGCCCGCAAUGAGAAGGGCUAUGGCCCGGCCACACAAGUGAGGUGGCUGCAGGGUGAGUGUCCUUCGUGGAGCUCUUCAGGCACAGGGAAGGCCCAGGAAGCCGGGUGCAGCAGGAGGAACUGUCACCAUCUGAGAUUUUUUCCCAUGUGCGGCGUCUCCCUGCUUCCUUUGGCGCGCACACAGCCCCCCACGGGGGUGGCCAUCAAGUAGAGCAGGGGACCCAGCUCCGGGCCUGGGGGUGC